GUCACUUAGCUCUGAAAACAUAGGCAUCGGAGUGUAGCAGACUGACUCAGAGUCCUCCCAAGAUGCAGAUUCUACUGAAAUCCAAACCCAAGGGGUCUACAAAAUGGGUAUGUUCAAAUUUUUUUUUUGUUUUCAUUACUGACUGUCUCCUAUUUUAAGGCACCCAGAUGGCUUGGGGGGAAUGUAAAUCAGUGCUUUCUUCCAUUGCCAGUUUAAUGACCUUGUGAUGUUAAUUGCCUCUUUCUCCAUAAUAUCAACUCUUCUCCCCAUAUCUCUCAGACAAAUUACCUAACCCUUCAAACACAAUCCAAGAGGACUUCCCCAUCCACCUAGGCAGAAUGCAACUAUAUCAUACUAGAGUUUUUAUGUGUGUGAGUAUAUAUAUAAUAAGGUAAAGCGGGAACUAAUAUUCUAAAAAGAAAUAUAAUUCUAUUAUAUAUUCUAUUAUAUAAUUCUAUUAUUAAAUAUAUUCUAUUAUUAUAGAAUUAUACACUAUAAUUUCUGUAUCUGUAAUUAUAGAACUGUAAUUUCUUACCAUUAAUCGCAAAAUGGGAGGCUCAUCAGGUAGAAGGAGGGAAGGACUCCAGUUUCAGCAGUUUGUGCUUAGAGUAGAAACAUAAAGGAGAAUGACAUGGUGAUAAAACCCAGCUUAGGAGAAAUAAGACUUACUAGUCAGCUUCAUUCAGCAACUCAUAUCUCGAAUGUUCACUAAACACUUAUUAUGAGCUCUAUGGUCCUACUUUAUGUUCUUGGCAUUGGAAAUUUUUUAAAUGAAUACGAAUUGAUUAUAAUAGAAGAUCAAGUAGAGCUCAACUCAAAGUGUCAUGGGAACUUGGAUGCACGAGAGACAGCUGUACAGCUGUCAGGGGACGUGUGGAGGUGUGGGGAGUGCAGACAGUGGUUAGAGAAGGUAUUUAUAGAAGAGGUGAUGUUUAAGCAAUACUCAGUAAUAUUAGUGGCCAUGGCAUAGGGCAUAUAGGUGAGAAAGAGGAUGGAGCCUGAAAAGAAAUAAGAGAUGAGGCAGAAGAAACAUGCUGGAGUGAUUCAUCUACCUGGAGAGGUGCUCUGCUCUGCAUUUCAUAAAUA
rnacentral:lncRNA from 1 species